rnacentral:rRNA from 1 species
UACGUAGGGUGCAAGCGUUGUCCGGAAUUAUUGGGCGUAAAGAGCUCGUAGGCGGUUCGUCACGUCGGCUGUGAAAUCCCGAGGCUCAACCUCGGGUCUGCAGUCGAUACGGGCGGACUGGAGUUCGGCAGGGGAGACUGGAAUUCCUGGUGUAGCGGUGAAAUGCGCAGAUAUCAGGAGGAACACCGGUGGCGAAGGCGGGUCUCUGGGCCGAUACUGACGCUGAGGAGCGAAAGCGUGGGGAGCGAACAGG